ensembl:lncRNA
UGAGAAUUUGUUCUUAAUCUAUUUUAAUUGCACAAGAGCAUUUUUGUAACUUCAGCAUCCAAGUAAUGAACUCCACUCCUCAACUAGGCCUGCAUUCUAAACUUCGAAUCAGAAAAUUAAAAUGUUUGUAUAGAUAAAAUAACUUCGUAAUGAACUCUUUUAUUUCUUCUCAUCUCUUUUUGUAUUUUCUGCAAUGUAGCCCCUUGCAAUGAUAUUAGUUCUAGUGUGGGAAAAUAUUAUAAUUGAGAUCUGGUAAGUUAUUUGCAGACUUCAAGUUUUUCUUUACACUGUGCUGACAUUUAGUACAGCCCUGGUGAGGAAAACAAUACAACCAUUCAUAGCUCUAGACGUAGAUUUCAAUCGACUUAGACGGGCACAAUGAAACUUGGUCAUUCACUGGUUACCCAUAUUGUGUUCUCAAAUUUUCUCUCAGCAAAAGUAUAAUGACUCAGUAUUGUAUGGUUGCAUAGACAAGGGCUCAGAACAAGAGACACUAGUUUUGUCUGACGGUGUGAGAAAGUCGUGAAGGGAUCUUUUCUUCCAGAUGGUGUUAAAUUCAGCUGCCUUUUUAACAUUGGCCUUGCACAGCAAUCUGCUGCUUCCCUGUCACAAAGACUGCCUUGGUUCCCACUAGUUAACAUGCAUACUCACGCAACCUGCAACUUCCCUCCAACUGUUUUACAAUGCAGGGGUAUGCUAAAUAAACUCGAUCCGGUUUCUGCCAAUGCUAAAACUAGCUUUCAAAGAACUGCUUAACUGAUAUUUACACUUCUUUUGACUUAAAUGUGCAUGCCUUAGGAAUAUUUCAGAUUUAAAAAAAAAUCACCUUAUGAUAAGGUAAUUGUAGAGAUUAUCUUGGACACCCUUUACACCCAUGCUCAAAUAUGGUACCUCUUUCAACACACACAAAUAAAACAAAAUGUCAGAAGUUUGAUGUGUAAUAGAAAAAAAAUUGGGGACAUGUUGCAGCAAGAGCAGUGGAGUAGCAAAAAAAUAAAAUGAAAAUAACAUUGAAAUGUAUUUUUAUUGAUCGAUAAGUUAUGUAACAUUAGUAUGAUACAAAGCAAGUUUGAUAUGACAAUGGCAAACACAUAAUUUUAAUAUUGUUUAUUUUCCUUAGAUGUUAUAGUUAACAUAUUUACAUAAACGACCAAGAUGUAGGCAAAAACUUCAGUAAUUUGACUCCAUUGAGUGCUUUGAGUAAACAAUAGGUUUCCCCAGCAAACAUCUUAUUGCCUUAAUUGAACCUCCUUGAGAAAGAAAACCACACACUUUGUAAUGUAAAUGUUAAUUGUAGUAGACAAUGGUUCUAGGUAAAUAGCACCCCUGGACAUGGGGCAAAUGAAAGGAACACAGGCACUUUACAAUGAAAGCUUGUUUGCACAAACAGUGCUUCAAAGGUAAACAAACACGGGUCUUCUCAACAGUCACUACAGUAGUAAAACUUUGGCACGUGUUCAGCAGCCAAAUUGAGAAUUUGCGUUAUUAAAGUCUCUCAGCUUUUUCUAUGUGAAGCUAACAGUGGCUUUUCAGGCCUUCCCAGUCUCAGUCUUAUAAGAAAUUGAAGUAAUAAAGAAAAAUGCACUGUCCCUGAAGAAAAAUUAUGUAUUUGGGAGUGUCAGUAAUUUAGGCCAUGUGGAAGAUAACAGGCAAUUUUGGACAAUUUUUUUAUUGCAAUGGUUGUGUUUAUGUGCAAAUGUCUACACAAAUGUUUGCCUGAUAACAUGUAACAAAAUAUAAGGAAUUUCAGAAAAGCUUUACAAUGAAUUUCUCCAAAACUUCAAAGUUUCUGCUAGAACUAGUUACUUUUAGGGAAAAAGAGAAGAAGAAGAAGAAGAAGAAGAAGAAGAAGAAGAAGAAGAAGAAGAAGAAGAAGAAGAAGAAGAAGAAGAAGAAGAAGAAGAAGAAGAAGAAGCUGUAGCACACGUCCUGCUAAGACUGUUCUAAAACAAGUUUUAAACGCAUUGUGAUUGUAGUCAACUUUCUACAGACUGAUGACUUUAUAGCUUUAUUUCCAGGAUGUAGAUUAGCAUAAGUAGGCCAAGUUCCUGUGUCACAUAGAGAAGUAAACAGCCUGAUGAACUAAGUCAGAGUGUUAUCAGACGAGACUUAUAAUAUAACACAGCCAAAAGAAAAGCCCAAAGGUGAUCACAAGGCCCUAACCAUAGGCUGAGAAUUUCUCCAAGGGACGUUCUUGGCAUCCCUUUCCACUUGCUUUCCUUAAAUAAUGAAAAUUUCAACCAAAGUAGAAAGCCAAAUUUAAUGGUGGCCAGAUUAAACAGUGGUUUAAAAAUUAACAGAAACAGUAUGCAGCAGCUACCAACCAGUUGGUGUUGCCAUUUGGGAGGCUGCAGAUGGCUGUGGGUGGGAAAUGCCUUUACUUUCUUAAGCGAUGGAGAUGAGUAUGGUGUGUGUGCUUGAUGUUUUUUUCAUACCCCUGCCCCCCAACAGGGCUGUCUGUCAUAGGCUGCCGGCCAGGCUUUACCACUUGCCCCCGAGCGUGGGAAUCGGAGCGUCCUGCCGUUCACAUCUCCUGCUUUCCGUUUAGCGGAAUCAAUUAGGCAAGACAGACCCUCAGAUUCCCCACCCCCUUUCCAUUUUUGUCAGGUCUAUAUACGUCCUAAUUAUUUCAGUUUGGGAUGCCAGAGCUGUUUCCUGGAUAGACCUGAUCAUCCUUAAACAAAAAGAGAGGAGGCGCACACGUGGGUUGUGGCGUAAAUGUCACUUUCAUUUCCAAUGCUAGGCGCAGAGUAAGACAGAACAUUUUUUUAACACUUUGACAAGAGGGGAGGCGAUCUCGUCUCCAUCAUGUCUUUCUGCUUCAGUAACUUCCUCAAGGAAACCCUCUUGGAACAGAGAAGCAUCUGUCCUUGUAUUUUGAAUAGAAGAAUAAAAAUCAGAGCCCCCCCCCCCAUUUUCCCUGCUAGCUCUAAGUCCUCGGGAGAUAUAAAUUAUUAGCCUUCCAAUAUAAGCUUUACUGAAAGUCUAACUUCAUAGAAUUUAAUGUACAGCCCCCAAAUACAUAGAAAGUUUCCAAGCACAAGCUUCAAACUUGAGGGAGGGGCCUCAAAAGGGAACUGCCCAAAUCUACAUAAUUAUUGCAUCAUUUUUAAACGAGGUAUCAGGCAUCACUAUAACAGCUUUCUAAGAAAAACAUUUCUCAUAUGUAAACGUUUGCUCCAAAACAGAACAAUAUAGAAAGCCCAUGCAUCUUCAUCCAUAAAAGCCACACAAUUCUCCUCUCCAGUCGUACAGCCCCUCUCAAAACCUGGCCCCUUUAGAUUUCAAAUAUGUGUGUCACUUAAUUUCCUUGCAUCCCACUUUUAAUCAUAAGAAAAAAAGUUAGAUUCAAUAAGCAUUCCUGACCUUUCUGGUCUUUACUGUCUCUUGGCUGUAGGCUUUCAUUCUGGGCGGCUCCUCGGUGAUCUUGAAGGAGUUUUUACUUUCGGUUAUCUAGCUUUAUGAAGACCAAUACACUCAUACAGCUAGAUAACCAAAGAUAACAACUCGCUUCCUUCACAGGAAGUCUUCCUCUGGCUCCACUCCAGAUCCGGCUCCACUCUGGAUCUACACAAGUGUAGUCCUCCAGGAUUUUUGCCGCGUUUAAGAUUCCUCUUUUCAUGCAAACAUGACCUGGUUUCUGUCUGAGUGAGUGCAGCUAAACAUCCAAAUAAGAUCUGUUGCAUUCAGAGUUUAUUCCAAACUUUUUUUUUCCCUUCCAGCAAGUAAUCUCCAGCAGCGUUAGCCAACAAUUCAUCUAUUAAUAUCAGAAAAUGAGAACCAGCGACUAAGGUGCAGCAAGCUGUUCCAGUGAGCUGCAGCGUCCAUCACUUCACAGGCCUCUAUUUGCAUUGUAAAUUGCUUCGUUCUCACGUAAGAUUCUUUAGCCUUCCUCUACUGAGAUGUAUAAAGCAGUCGGCAGUUUCCAGCGCUGGUAAAAGAGGAAGAGGGGGAAAAUCCCAUUCUAUAGAAGUGACAGCUGAUUCAAAGAUCUGCGCCGGAUCAUUGGGUUAGGCAUCAUGAGCUUUUUACCAAGUGCUGGCAGCUUGAUUGCACAUAUCUUGUAUGUGAAUGUUUUAGGGGGAGAUCCUCGAUUUCUCAGGACUUCUAGGCUGGGGAGAAGAUGCUGUCUUGCUGGAGUACUGCUGCCCCCGGUCUGAAAGAAGGAGAAAAGGGCCAUCAUUGGAGGGGCUUUCACUGCCAAAUUGUGGACCAGCCCGGCAAGGUCAAAGGUUUGAGACCGCGGGAGACCAAGGUAAUGAUGAUGUCAUGAGAAAUCUCAAGUACAUGGUUAUUGAUAUGCAUCAGUGAUCAGCCAACUGCCCCAUGCCUGCUGCCAGGAGGAGUGGGGGCUGCGGCGGCGUCUGCAGCAGCGGUGGUGGCGACGCAGCAGCAGCUCUGCCACAAGCCCUAUUUUCUCAAUCAACAUUUCAUCCUCUAGCACUACCGACUGUUCCUGGAAAAGCAACCCGCGGCCUUUUACCUCCUCGGCGCUAGUGUAGAUCGCUCUAAUAUCCAAAGACUGGAGGAAAUCUCUCUCUAAGGACAGAUAAAAGCAUUUCAGCUUGGAAAGAAGAGACUUAAGAAACAUUAGGGAUUUGAACCUUGUAACCUGCCAUACAAAAGAGAAGAGACAGCCCCACCAUGCAAGGAUCUUAAGUCUGGAACAAAGUCUUAUUUUCUAAAUGUUUAAGGGACUGGAUUUCCUGGCCUUUCAAACAAUGGGAAUCCCAGGAUAAAUGUCUAAUCCAUUAGAAAGAUGCAAAUAGUUUACUGUAAGGCCACACAGCACAGUGAGAUGUGCAUUCAUAUCUAUGGCUCCUGAUUGGCUCUUUCCUUCAGUAAAUCAAUGAAUAAUGUAAACCCUGAUUGCUGUAAAG